GACCCUGUCGUCUAGCUGGCCAAGGACUUUAGGUUUUCAUCCUAACAACAAAGGUUCAAAUCCUUUCGGGGUCGCCA
rnacentral:tRNA from 1 species